rnacentral:rRNA from 1 species
CCAGACUCCUACGGGAGGCAGCAGUGAGGAAUAUUGGUCAAUGGGAGAGAUCCUGAACCAGCCAAGCCGCGUGAGGGAAGACGGCCCUACGGGUUGUAAACCUCUUUUGUCGGAGAACAAAACCCGGGACGAGUCCCGGACUGCGUGUAUCCGAAGAAAAAGCAUCGGCUAACUCCGUGCCAGCAGCCGCGGUAAUACGGAGGAUGCGAGCGUUAUCCGGAUUUAUUGGGUUUAAAGGGUGCGCAGGCGGAAUGUCAAGUCAGCGGUAAAAUUUCGGGGCUCAACCCCGUCGUGCCGUUGAAACUGGCGUUCUUGAGUGAGCGAGAAGUAUGCGGAAUGCGUGGUGUAACGGUGAAAUGCAUAGAUAUCACGCAGAACUCCGAUUGCGAAGGCAGCAUACCGGCGCUCAACUGACGCUCAUGCACGAAAGCGUGGGUAUCGAACAGGAUUAGAUACCCCAGUA